rnacentral:rRNA from 1 species
GAUGAACGCUGGCGGCGUGCCUAAUACAUGCAAGUCGAGCGAACAGACGAGGAGCUUGCUCCUUCGACGUUAGCGGCGGACGGGUGAGUAACACGUAGGUAACCUACCUAUAAGACUGGGAUAACUUCGGGAAACCGGAGCUAAUACCGGAUAAUAUUUCGAACCGCAUGGUUCGAUAGUGAAAGAUGGCUUGCUAUCACUUAUAGAUGGACCUGCGCCGUAUUAGCUAGUUGGUAAGGUAACGGCUUACCAAGGCAACGAUACGUAGCCGACCUGCGAGGGUGAUCGGCCACACUGGAACUGAGACACGGUCCAGACUCCUACGGGAGGCAGCAGUAGGGAAUCUUCCGCAAUGGGCGAAAGCCUGACGGAGCAACGCCGCGUGAGUGAUGAAGGUCUUCGGAUCGUAAAACUCUGUUAUUAGGGAAGAACAAACGUGUAAGUAACUGUGCACGUCUUGACGGUACCUAAUCAGAAAGCCACGGCUAACUACGUG